GUUCGAUCAUUGACAAGGUUCAAAGAAAGGGUAGGC
rnacentral:sRNA from 1 species